GAGAGAGGUUAGCUUAACAACGGAGACUGCUAAUCUCCGCUCCCCCGGUUGAAUUCCAGGGCUCACUCG
rnacentral:tRNA from 2 species